UGGGGAAUAUUGCACAAUGGGCGCAAGCCUGAUGCAGCCAUGGCGCGUGUAUGAAGAAGGCCUUCGGGUUGUAAAGUACUUUCAGUCGGGAGGAAGGUGGUAAGGUUAAUAACCUUGGCAAUUGACGUUACCGACAGAAGAAGCACCGGCUAACUCCGGGCCAGCAGCCGCGGUAAUACGGAGGGUGCAAGCGUUAAUCGGAAUUACUGGGCGUACAGCGCACGCAGGCGGUUGAUUGAGUCAGAUGUGAAAUCCCCGGGCUUAACCCGGGAAUUGCAUCUGAUACUGGUCAGCUAGAGUCUUGUAGGGGGGGGUAGAAUUCCAUGUGUAGCGGUGAAAUGCGUAGAGAUGUGGAGGAAUACCGGUGGCGAAGGCGGCCCCCUGGACAAAGCCUGACGCUCAGGUGCGAAAGCGUGGGGAGCAAACAGG
rnacentral:rRNA from 1 species